rnacentral:misc_RNA from 1 species
AGUCGUAACAAGGUAUCCGUAGGUGAACCUGCGGAUGGAUCAUUAACAAAGGUGUUUUUGAAGUUGUGUGAACAGUUGGAGGUGGUGGUGGUGGUAUUGGGUGGUGGUAUUGGGUGGUAUUGGGUGGUGUAACCUUGGUCAACCUCACUCAACCUCACUCUCCCACUCUCCCAACCUCCACCACUCCGUCCCUAUAAUGUAUACAAACUGAUGUCUGCUAGUUUCAAACUAAAACAACUUUUAGCAACGGAUCUCUUGGCUCUC